UCUUGUGUAGACAAACUGGUAAAGUCAGUGGACUGUUAAUCCACCGCUUAAUUGCACUGUAGGUUCGAAGCCUACCACAAGAG
rnacentral:tRNA from 1 species